AGGACAUCAUGGUGUAUGUGUGAAGACAAGCUGUAGGCAUCAGGGAUCUGGGAUCCAACUCCAGUUGUCGGGCUUAGAGAUUGAUGAGUGGGGAGAGAAGAAUACAUUCAGGAAACCAUUGCUAUUAUCGACACCAGGAAGAAAUCCAUUACCUCCAAUGCCGGUCUCUGUCUCUCAUUAUCAUUUAUGAUUGGGAACUCUGUCAAGCUCUGAGACACGUCAGGUGGAGAUCUGGAUUUUAUUUUGCCUAACCACCAGC